AUUGAACGCUGGCGGCAGGCUUAACACAUGCAAGUCGAGCGGGGGAAGGUAGCUUGCUACCGGACCUAGCGGCGGACGGGUGAGUAAUGCUUAGGAAUCUGCCUAUUAGUGGGGGACAACAUCUCGAAAGGGAUGCUAAUACCGCAUACGUCCUACGGGAGAAAGCAGGGGAUCUUCGGACCUUGCGCUAAUAGAUGAGCCUAAGUCGGAUUAGAUAGUUGGUGGGGUAAAGGCCUACCAAGGCGACGAUCUGUAGCGGGGCUGAGAGGAUGAUCCGCCACACUGGGCCUGAGACACGGCCCAGACUCCUACGUGAGGCAGCAGUGGGGAAUAUUGGACAAUGGGGGGAACCUUGAUCCAGCCAUGCAGCGUGUGUGAAGAAGGCCUAUGGUUGUAAAGCACUUUAAGCGAGGAGGAGGCUACUCUAGUUAAUACCUAGGGAUAGUGGACGUUACUCGCAGAAUAAGCACCGGCUAACUCUGUGCCAGCCGCCGCCGUAA
rnacentral:rRNA from 1 species